UAAAACUCAAUAAUACAUCCAGGCUGAAGCCUUUGUGCUAUGAGUGACCUACACAUUCAACAGACUCAGGCUGCCAUAUACAGAUAAACACCACAGCUGGGAGGUCCAACAUAUACAAACAGUGGUGCCAAAGCACGUUGACAUGUGGCAAGAGGAAGAUGGAAUCGAACCUACGCCCUUCCUAUUACAAGACAACAACGCUACUCUCAGAAUCUUGACUUUUGGAUCCCACAGAGGAAUGUUACUGACAACCUCAAAAUAUACUUCAGUUUUCCUGAUUCAGCUCAAUUCUUCCUCUAAAACCAGGUUCUGAGUCUCUGACGUCAGCAAUUAUAAAUCACUGCAAUUAAUAAACAUGAUUUGAUUUUAAAAUAAUUGGACAUCAUUUAUUCUCCUUGUUAAUUUAUCAUUUCUCUUUCAUACGUUUUAUUCAUUGUUAGCUUUCAGUGCCUGCGAUGGACUGGUGACCUGUCCAGGGUGAACCCCGCCUCUCGUCUGGUGACAGCUGGAGCUGGGCCCCACCGGCCCCCCUCACCACCCUGCAGGGAUCAACGUGUUCAGAUCAUGGAUGGAAAGAUUUGAUGGUAGAUUGUCUCCCUUAAGACCUCACUGAAAACAGCUUCAUAGUUGAUGCCUCAACAUCAACUGAUUCUAUCAUAUUGCUGACUAUUUUUUCUACUUCUAACAUAAACAGGUAAAGAAGUAACCUAGAAAUGUUUUCCCAGCCCAGGCAUCCGGUCCCAAUCAUCAUCAGUUCUGAUGAUGUCACAUGCAUAGCGAGUCCGCUACGUCUUAAAAUUGUUUCUGUAAAGUGCAGUGAAUGGGAAUGUUCUGCCGUUGAUCCUCACUGUUCUUAGGAAGGAGAAAUGUCAGUAUGUUUGCAAUAAUACUGGAAUACUGUGAUAUUAAAUUAAAACAAUACUCUGUCCUUGGUUCAAUAUUUUUCACAUUUCCUCUAAAGUGUACCUAUUGUUUCAUUGUACUAAUUUUCAUAAGCAUGUUGUCUGCAAAUUUUGAAUGUAUUGACAAUUUGUACAAUUCUGUAAUAGUAUAUUGGCAAUGUACUCUUGAAAAAUGUAAAUAUAUGUCAAAUAAAAUGUGAUUUGUUAUGCA